GGGUUGUGAGGUUAAGCGACUAAGCGUACACGGUGGAUGCCCUGGCAGUCAGAGGCGAUGAAGGACGUGCUAAUCUGCGAUAAGCGUCGGUAAGGUGAUAUGAACCGUUAUAACCGGCGAUUUCCGAAUGGGGAAACCCAGUGUGUUUCGACACACUAUCAUUACGUGAAUACAUAGCGUAAUGAAGCGAACCGGGGGAACUGAAACAUCUAAGUACCCCGAGGAAAAGAAAUCAACCGAGAUUCCCCCAGUAGCGGCGAGCGAACGGGGAGCAGCCCAGAGUCUGAAUCAGCUUGUGUGUUAGUGGAACGGUCUGGAAAGUCCGACGGUACAGGGUGAUAGUCCCGUACACCAAAAUGCACAGGUUGUGAACUCGAAGAGUAGGGCGGGACACGUGGUAUCCUGUCUGAAUAUGGGGGGACCAUCCUCCAAGGCUAAAUACUCCUGACUGACCGAUAGUGAACCAGUACCGUGAGGGAAAGGCGAAAAGAACCCCGGCGAGGGGAGUGAAAAAGAACCUGAAACCGUGUACGUACAAGCAGUGGGAGCCCCACCACCA
rnacentral:rRNA from 1 species